rnacentral:rRNA from 1 species
UACGGAGGGGGCUAGCGUUGUUCGGAAUUACUGGGCGUAAAGCGCACGUAGGCGGCUUUGUAAGUUAGAGGUGAAAUCCCGGGGCUCAACCUCGGAACUGCAUUGGAUACUGCCUUGCUAGAGUACUGGAGAGGGAACUGGAAUUUACGGUGUAGCAGUGAAAUGCGUAGAGAUCGUAAGGAAGGCCAGUGGCGAAGGCGAGUUCCUGGACAGUUACUGACGCUGAGGCACGAAGGCCAGGGGAGCAAACGGG